AUUGAACGCUGGCGGCAGGCUUAACACAUGCAAGUCGAGCGGGGUGAUGGUGCUUGCACUAUCACUUAGCGGCGGACGGGUGAGUAAUGCUUAGGAAUCUGCCUAUUAGUGGGGGACAACAUCUCGAAAGGGAUGCUAAUACCGCAUACGUCCUACGGGAGAAAGCAGGGGAUCACUUGUGACCUUGCGCUAAUAGAUGAGCCUAAGUCGGAUUAGCUAGUUGGAGGGGUAAAGGCCUACCAAGGCGACGAUCUGUAGCGGGUCUGAGAGGAUGAUCCGCCACACUGGGACUGAGACACGGCCCAGACUCCUACGGGAGGCAGCAGUGGGGAAUAUUGGACAAUGGGGGGAACCCUGAUCCAGCCACGCCGCGUGUGUGAAGAAGGCCUUAUGGUUGUAAAGCACUUUAAGCGAGGAGGAGGCUCUUUUGGUUAAUACCCAAGAUGAGUGGACGUUACUCGCAGAAUAAGCACCGGCUAACUCUGUGCCAGCCGCCGCCGUAA
rnacentral:rRNA from 1 species